AGUGAACGCUGGCGGUAGGCCUAACACAUGCAAGUCGAACGGCAGCACAGUAAGAGCUUGCUCUUACGGGUGGCGAGUGGCGGACGGGUGAGGAAUACAUCGGAAUCUACUUUUUCGUGGGGGAUAACGUAGGGAAACUUACGCUAAUACCGCAUACGACCUACGGGUGAAAGCAGGGGAUCUUCGGACCUUGCGCGAUUGAAUGAGCCGAUGUCGGAUUAGCUAGUUGGCGGGGUAAAGGCCCACCAAGGCGACGAUCCGUAGCUGGUCGGAGAGGAUGAUCAGCCACACUGGAACUGAGACACGGUCCAGACUCCUACGGGAGGCAGCAGUGGGGAAUAUGGGACAAUGGGCGCAAGCCUGAUCCAGCCAUACCGCGUGGGUGAAGAAGGCCUUCGGGUUGUAAAGCCCUUUUGUUGGGAAAGAAAAGCAGCAGGUUAAUACCCCGCUGUUCUGACGGUACCCAAAGAAUAAGCACCGGCUAACUUCGUG
rnacentral:rRNA from 1 species